GGGAUUGUGGCUCAGUGGUAGAGCGCUCGCCUCACAUGCGUGAGACACUGGGUUCGAUCCUCAGCACCA
rfam:Ictidomys tridecemlineatus contig035536, whole genome shotgun sequence.